CGACGGCAGCACGGGAGCAAUCCUGGUGGCGAGUGGCGAACGGGUGAGUAAUGUAUCGGAACGUACCUUUCAGUGGGGGAUAACGUAGCGAAAGUUACGCUAAUACCGCAUAUUCUGUGAGCAGGAAAGCAGGGGAUCGCAAGACCUUGCGCUAAUUGAGCGGCCGAUAUCAGAUUAGCUAGUUGGUGAGGUAAAGGCUCACCAAGGCGACGAUCUGUAGCGAGUCUGAGAGGAUGAUCCGCCACACUGGAACUGAGACACGGUCCAGACUCCUACGGGAGGCAGCAGUGGGGAAUUUUGGACAAUGGGGGCAACCCUGAUCCAGCCAUGCCGCGUGAGUGAAGAAGGCCUUCGGGUUGUAAAGCUCUUUCAGCCGGGAAGAAAUCACAUGGGUUAAUACCCUGUGUGGAUGACGGUACCGGAAUAAGAAGCACCGGCUAACUACGUGCCAGCAGCCGCGGUAAUACGUAGGGUGCGAGCGUUAAUCGGAAUUACUGGGCGUAAAGCGUGCGCAGGCGGUUUGUUAAGAUAGGCGUGAAAUCCCCGGGCUCAACCUGGGAACUGCGUUUAUGACUGGCAGGCUAGAGUAUGGCAGAGGGGGGUGGAAUUCCACGUGUAGCAGUGAAAUGCGUAGAGAUGUGGAGGAACACCGAUGGCGAAGGCAGCCCCCUGGGCCAAUACUGACGCUCAUGCACGAAAGCGUGGGUAGCAAACAGGAUUAGAUACCCUGGUAGUCCACGCCCUAAACGAUGUCAACU
rnacentral:rRNA from 1 species